AUGGCGGCGACGUCGCUCCUGCGCCUCUGUGCCGCCGCCGCGCUUGCGCUGCUCCUGCUCGUCGGAGCGGCGCCUCUGACAGAAGCUUACGACCCUCUUGAUCCAACCGGGAACAUCACAAUCAAAUGGGAUAUCACUCAGUGGACUGCAGAUGGCUAUGUUGCUGUUGUUUCCAUAAACAAUUACCAGAAGUACCGUCAUAUCCAAGCACCUGGGUGGCAUCUUGGGUGGGCUUGGACAAAGAAGGAGGUCAUCUGGGGAAUGAUGGGUGCACAGACAAUAGAGCAAGGGGAUUGCUCUCAAUUUAAAGGCAAUAUACCACACUGCUGCAGGAGAGACCCAACAACAGUUGACUUGCUUCCUGGUGCGCCUAACGGCAUGCAGGUGGGAAAUUGUUGCAAAGGAGGAGUUCUUAACUCAUGGGGGCAAGAUCCAGUCAAUGCAGUGGCAUCGUUUCAGAUCACUGUUGGCCGAUCCGGAACGACAAAUAGGACAGUGAAAGCACCGAAAAACUUCACCCUCAAGGCCCCAGGUCCAGGGUAUACCUGUGGAGCAGCCCAGAAAGUAAAACCUCCCACUAAGUUCAUUUCGCUCGAUGGAAGGAGAACAACUCAAGCGCAUGUGACUUGGGAUGUGAUAUGCACAUAUUCACAGUUUGUUGCUCAAAGAGGUCCUGCUUGUUGUGUUGCACUAUCAUCGUUUUACAACGAAACGAUAGUUGACUGCCCAAAGUGCUCAUGUGGCUGCCAGAACAACAUAACCAACCCUGGGAGCUGCGUUGAGGUUAAUUCGCCUUACUUGGCUUCAGUGGUGAAUGGACCUGGCAAGGGCAGCUCGACCCCCCUAGUGCGAUGCUCACCCCAUAUGUGCCCAAUCAAGGUGCACUGGCAUGUUAAGGCCAACUACAGGGACUACUGGAGGGUGAAGAUCACCAUUUCAAACUGGAACUACCGGAUGAACUACUCCCAGUGGAACCUGGUUGUUCAACACCCAAAUUUCGACAAUGUCACGACAAUUUUCAGCUUCAACUACAAAGCAUUGAACCCCUAUGGAGUAAUAAAUGAUACCGCGAUGCUGUGGGGUCUCAAGUACUACAAUGACCUGCUCAUGGUGGCUGGGCCAGACGGCAACGUGCAAUCCGAGCUUCUGUUCAGGAAGGACCCGUCGACCUUCACUUUCGAGAAGGGCUGGGGUUUCCCAAGACGCAUAUACUUCAACGGUGAGAGCUGCGUCAUGCCUCAGCCAGAUUUGUACCCAUGGCUGCCAAGCUCCUCCCCGAGACUGACGAAGACGGCAUUUCUGGCCCUGGCCAUCGUCGCUUGCGCGACGGUGGCGUUCUUGUACAAUCAUCUAGUGUUGGAUAAAUACUGCGGGAAGUCAUGA
rnacentral:rRNA from 1 species